AUGAGUUUUGGUUGGAGGAGACGGCGGAGAACGCAACUGAGCUUUAGUGCAAGCAGUAGCGGCUACUCAGGUGGAACGAAAGAUUAAGAGACUGCAGAGUCAUGAAGUAAUUGCAUGACAUUUGGAUUUAGUGUGCCUUCUAGUUAUUCUAAGGAUUUUGCAAUUGUUGACAUUGGACCCUUUCAUGGGAAUUUUAUCCAGG